GUAUGCCUACGGGAGGCAGCAGUGGGGAAUAUUGCACAAUGGGGGAAACCCUGAUGCAGCGACGCCGCGUGAGUGAAGAAGUAUUUCGGUACGUAAAGCUCUAUCAGCAGGGAAGAAAGAAAGUCCUUUGGACUUUGGACGGUACCUGACCAAGAAGCCCCGGCUAACUACGUGCCAGCAGCCGCGGUAAUACGUAGGGGGCAAGCGUUAUCCGGAUUUACUGGGUGUAAAGGGAGCGUAGACGGCAGCGCAAGUCUGGAGUGAAAUACCGGGGCCCAACCCCGGAACUGCUCUGGAAACUGUGG
rnacentral:rRNA from 1 species